rnacentral:rRNA from 1 species
GACGAACGCUGGCNGGCGUGCCUAACACAUGCAAGUCGCACGGAACCCGCAAGGGUUCAGUGGCGGACGGGUGCGUAACACGUGAGGAACAUGCCUAUCGGCGGGGGAUAGCCGGCCCAACGGCCGGGUAAUACCGCGUACGCUCAUCGGGGGGCAUCCCCUGGUGAGGAAAGCAGCAAUGCACCGAUAGAGUGCCUCGCGGCCUAUCAGCUAGUUGGUGAGGUAAUGGCUCACCAAGGCAACGACGGGUAGCUGGUCUGAGAGGAUGAUCAGCCACAUUGGGACUGAGACAGGGCCCAGACUCCUACGGGAGGCAGCAGUGGGGAAUCUUGCGCAAUGGCCGAAAGGCUGACGCAGCGACGCCGCGUGUGGGAUGACGGCCUUCGGGUUGUAAACCACUGUCGGAAGGGACGAAUGGCCCGCAAGGG